AGAAUGGUUGUAGCUGACAAUGGAUUCAAUAAUUUUCAUCGUAUGCUGUCUUCUAUCAGUACUGUAUCAUCUGUAAUACUCUGCGCAUUUGCAAAUUUUUAUUAGUGGAUAAAGAGUUGAAGAAAUCAAAUCGGAUAAGAGUAGUAAUACAAAAAUCACCCAUAAUCGAUGCUGGCAGGAGAUGACAAAUUA